rnacentral:rRNA from 1 species
AGAACGAACGCUGGCGGCAUGCCUAACACAUGCAAGUCGAACGAACCCUUCGGGGUUAGUGGCGCACGGGUGCGUAACGCGUGGGAACCUACCAUCAGGUUCGGAAUAACAGUUAGAAAUGACUGUUAAUACCGGAUAAUGUCCUCGGACCAAAGAUUUAUCGCCUUUUGAUGGGCCCGCGUUGGAUUAGCUAGUUGGUAAGGUAAAGCUUACCAAGGCGACGAUCCAUAGCUGGUCUGAGAGGAUGGAUCAGCCACACUGGGACUGAGACACGGCCCAGACUCCUACGGGAGGCAGCAGUGGGAAUAUUGGACAAUGGGCGAAAGCCUAGAUCCAGCAAUGACCGCGUGAGUGAUGAAGGCCUUAGGGUGUAAGCUCUUUACGUGGGGAUGUAUAAGUG